CACUAGAAUGCUAAAACAGGCUAGCGUUGACCUUUUAAGUCAAAACUUGGUGCCUACCGACCACCUCUAGUGG
rnacentral:tRNA from 1 species